rnacentral:rRNA from 2 species
UGUACACACCGCCCGUCACACCAUGGGAGUGGGUUGUACCAGAAGUAGAUAGCUUAACCUUCGGGAGGGCGUUUACCACGGUAUGAUUCAUGACUGGGGUGAAGUCGUAACAAGGUAACCGUAGGGGAACCUGCGGUUGGAUCACCUCCUUACC